UAUUAGCAGUAGCCAGUGCCCUCCUGCUUCCUCCAGUCCCUUUAACCAGUGAAAGAUUGGGAAGGUAGCUGGAAGUAACCGGAGACUGGAAAAAGCACUGAAGGUCUCUCGCUUACCAUGGGGAGAUCGUGGGAAAGAUACGGAGAAGGAGAAGUAGGGAAUACUGCAGUGGAAGGAAAACAUCACAAAAGAAACAGGACAAAUGAAAUUUGUGCCGCGGGAGACUACAUAGUUGUUUCAUUAGCUGGAUAGUAUUGCUGCAUCAAAUAUUUGACAAAAAGAUGUGACAAAACUUUUUGGUUUUAAAUCCAAUGUGUUCUCAUCUUCUGCACCAAACCAAUUAUUCUUUUUUUUUUCUAGCUUGCUGUUUGUAUGACAAACUCUGAAUUACUGUAUGCAUGGCAGUGAUGGCCACAGGGAGAUGGUGGGGCAGAUCUCCAUAAACAGCAGGAGAAGCAUCCUCACAAUCCUUAAUUGCCUAGAGAGCACUGAGGAACAAGACAAAGGCAGAGGCCUAUUACUGGAUAUUACAGAGAACUUCUGAUGUUAUCCUCAAAUGCGGACUCACCUGCAGCUUCAUUCACAUCACUGCUGGAGCACAUGGUCCUCAGUGCAGAAUUAAUGCUGCGGUCAUGGGGCACUACUUCAGGAAAGCCAUCUUGGUUUGAGGAAUUCCACCUAUUUCCUCCAUUAGAACGUACCAGAAAAGUUCAGGAAGACAGGAGUUUAUGGGG